rnacentral:tRNA from 1 species
GGGCCGGUAGCUCAGCGGUCAGAGCAAGGGGCUCAUAACCCCGUGGUCGGAGGUUCGAAUCCUCCCCGGCCCA